AUGACUGAUAGGUGCUUGCUCUGUUGCAGAAUCUCUGGAAAGUGUUCCCUUCGUCAGUAUUACAUCGCCACAGGUUAGCAUGAGCGAGCCACCGAAGCCAGAGUCUAGAAGCGUCGAGAGCAAUCAGUCUCUUGGGAGCAGUGUGGGAAAGAUCAUCCAAGAUCUAGACCAUGUCAGCAAAGAUUCCGUGGUCCGCACAUCGAACGUCGAAUCGCAAAUCAGCGGCCAUGACAAGAAGUCAUGCAGAUUUUGAAAUGCAACAGUACAAACACAACAAGAAGCAAUGCAACCGCAGAGUCAACUGAAUAGACUUGAGAUUGGGAUAGAAAUUGGUAUAAACACACACACACAGAUCUGCUGAAGCCAUCCGGAUGUUCACAUUGCGACAUGACUGUACACAAAAACCCAGAUUUUCAUGAUAAUAUUUAGAAACCAGAGUGAUGAGGGAGAAGGAAAUAGAGUGACGCAGAGGCACCGAAGAGUCAACUGGAGGUAAGGAUCCCUUCUCAUGCUAAUUUUAUGGGAACUUCAACUUGUGAGCCUCUUAAUGCAAUGCGCAUGGACAUUUCUUUGGAUUUAAACACCUUUUUCCUAGUAUCAUAAUUUAUAUCACUGACCCAAUUGUAUGAGUUCGGAAAAAAGCUCAAUCCUCAUUCUAACAGGAUUGACAGGAGGUUCCAUCAUUUAAAAUAUGCCCCUUAAUCCUCAGUGUAAAUCUUCACAAUUUAAUAUAAUUUUCUUCCAACAAACUUUCAAUGAGCUUGCUUAAUUCACAGAAGAAAUUCAGUUUAGCCUAUAUGGGCACUAUGUUAAUUCAAAUGUAACAGCAAAUUAUUUCCAGGGGUUGAGACAAUUCUUUUCUGCCCUUAGAGGGCUCUGUUAUGGGCUUGAAAGAUUAUUAGAAGUUAUUAUAGGUUUUUGUAAGAUUGCUUGCAUAAGUGCUAAUGAUCGGAUGGCUGUCCGGAAGCGAGAGUUGAACUCAGAUCCUGAUGGCAAGUCUCUGAGAUUGGAGGUAGAUGGCCUAUAAGGAAUUGUCAAACUUUAGGGUUUUUGAGGGAUUAACAUUUUUGCGCGUCAUGAUAAUAAAUGACAAUAUUUGGCACUCGGAUUUGAGCAGUUGGUCUCAAGAAGUCAUUCGGAGCGGAUGAUCUGCCAGUAGAGUCGGAAUGGUGUCACAACCUUCACCAUAUUCUGUGACUCUUCAGGUCGCAUGUGUAACUUGCCUGUGUGUCGAUCACUCAGUGUUAGAGUAUAAAUUCAGUACAUUGCUUGUCAGAAUUAAAUUUUGUUUCACUGAUUGGUAGAAUGACUAUGCUGAUCUGAGAUGUUGACAUGUUUGUUCAGUUUUGCAACUAUUAGUUUAACUGGACGGAAUAAGAGAUAUUCACACUGACCACUUGUGUUACACAGGGCGCUAUGAAAGUAAAUUUGGAUGUACAGGUAAAGAGCAACACUGUUGCAGCAAGCCUGAAAGCUCUAGUGGCUACAGGAAUGUGCUGUAGUGAAUACCUGGCAACAGCUACGUUUGUUGAGGAGGCUGACAAACCUCUUUGAUAGCUUCAAUGGU